CGGAGGUGACCGUGACCAUGGUGCCUUUUCCCCAGUAGUCAAAAGCCCAAUUGUCUCGAGCACAGUAAUACACAGCCGUGUCUUCUGUCUUCAGGUUAUUCAGCGUCAGUGAAGACCUGCUGUUCGAGGUG